rnacentral:tRNA from 1 species
CCCGGUGUGGCGCAGCGGAUAGCGCGCGUGGCUCAUAACCACGAGGUCAUACGAUCGAAACGUAUCGCCGGGA